rnacentral:rRNA from 1 species
UCCACGCCCUAAACGAUGAAUGUUAGUCGUUGGAGUCCUAGUGACUUCAGUGAUGCAGCUAACGCAUUAAACAUUCCGCCGUGGGGAGUACGGUCGCAAGAUUAAACUCAAAGGAAUAGACGGGGACCCGCACAAGUGGUGGAGCAUGUGGUUUAAUUCGAAAAUACGCGAAGAACCUUACCUGGCCUUGACAUUGAG